rnacentral:rRNA from 1 species
AUUGAACGCUGGCGGCAUGCCUUACACAUGCAAGUCGAACGGUAACAGGUCUUCGGAUGCUGACGAGUGGCGAACGGGUGAGUAAUACAUCGGAACGUGCCCAGACGUGGGGGAUAACGGGGCGAAAGCUUUGCUAAUACCCCAUACGAUCUAAGGAGGAAAGCAGGGGACGGCAAGGCCUUGCGCGUUUGGAGCGGCCGAUGGCAGAUUAGGUAGUUGGUGGGAUAAAAGCUUACCAAGCCGACGAUCUGUAGCUGGUCUGAGAGGACGACCAGCCACACUGGGACUGAGACACGGCCCAGACUCCUACGGGAGGCAGCAGUGGGGAAUUUUGGACAAUGGGCGAAAGCCUGAUCCAGCAAUGCCGCGUGCAGGAUGAAGGCCUUCGGGUUGUAAACUGCUUUUGUACGGAACGAAAAGGCUCUGGCUAAUACCUGGGGCACAUGACGGUACCGUAAGAAUAAGCACCGGCUAACUACGUG